AUGGAAUUCCAGAACUUCCCAUGGAAUUCCAGAAAUUCCAGAACUUCCCAUGGAAUUAAGAAAGAUUCCAGAACUUUCUGUGGAAUUCCAGAACUCUCCAGGUGCUUCCAAGUGGACCAAGAACCUUCCAGAACUUUCCACGGAAUUCCAGAAGCUUCCGGAAUUUUCCAGGUGCUUCCAAAACCUUCAACGGGAUUCCAGAAAUUCCCAUGGAAUUCCAGAACUUUCCAGGUACUUCCAAAAAUCCCUGAACUUUCCAUGGAAUUCCAGAACUUCCAGAGGUCUCCAGGUACUUCCAAGUGGACCGAGAACCUCCAGAACUUUCCACGGAAUUCCAGAAAUUCCAGAACUUUCUAUGGAAUUCCAGAAAUUCCAGAACUUUCUAUGGAAUUCCAGAUCCUUCCAGGUGCUUCCAGAAAUUCCCGGACUUUCCACGGAAUUCCAGAAAUUUCUACGGAAUUAAAAAAAAAAAAAUAUUCCAGAACUUUCCACGGAAUUCCAGAAAUUCCAGAACUUUUCAUGGAAUUCCAGAACUUUUCCAGACCUUUCAGCUGCUUCCAGAAUUUCCGUGGAAUUCCAGAAAUUCCUGACCUUUCCAUGGAAUUCCCGAACUUUCCACGGAAUUCCAGAACUUUCCAGGUGCUUCCAGACAUUCCCAAACUUUUCAUGGAAUUGCAGAAUUUCCAUGGAAUUCCAGAACUUUCUAUGGACUUCCAGAAAUUCCGGAACUUUCCAUGGAAUUCCAAAAAUUCCAGAACUUUUCAUGGAAUUCCAGAACUUCCAGAACUUUCCACGGAAUUCCAGAAUUUUUUAGGGGCUUCCAGAAAUUCCGGAACUUUCCAUGGAAUUCCAGAACUUUUUAUGGAAUUCAAAAAAUUCCAGAACUUUCCACGGAAUUCCAGAACUUUUCCAGGUGCUUCCAGAAAUUCCAGAACUUUCCACGGAAUUCCGGAGGCUCUCAGGCCCCUCCCCCGGGAAUUCCGGGAUUUUUUGGGAAAAGGGGGAGGAGCCGCGAUCUCGGACUCAUGA
rnacentral:lncRNA from 1 species